CCUACGGGAGGCUGCAGUGAGGAAUAUUGGUCAAUGGUCGGGAGACUGAACCAGCCAAGCCGCGUGAGGGAUGAAGGUACAGAGUAUCGUAAACCUCUUUUGCCAGGGAACAAAGGCGGGGACGUGUCCCCGGCUGAGUGUACCUGAAGAAAAAGCAUCGGCUAACUCCGUGCCAGCAGCCGCGGUAAUACGGAGGAUGCGAGCGUUAUCCGGAUUUAUUGGGUUUAAAGGGUGCGCAGGCGGUCUGUUAAGUCAGCGGUCAAAGCCCGGGGCUCAACCCCGGCCCGCCGUUGAAACUGGCAGUCUCGAGUUGGAGAGAAGUAUGCGGAAUGCGCGGUGUAGCGGUGAAAUGCAUAGAUAUCGCGCAGAACCCCGAUUGCGAAGGCAGCAUGCCGGCUCCACACUGACGCUGAGGCACGAAAGCGUGGGUAUCGAACAGGAUUAGAUACCCCGGUAGUC
rnacentral:rRNA from 1 species